CCCAAAAUUCUUGUCUUAGAUUUGUCUAGAUACGGAUGUAUCAAGUCACAUUUUAGUAUUAGAUACAUCCGUAUCUAGACAAAUCUAAGACAAGAAAUUUGGG
rfam:Triticum aestivum genome assembly, contig: Triticum_aestivum_CS42_TGACv1_scaffold_062277_1DL